UAGCAGGCUCCGACCCGUGUGCUCUAGAACUUUGUCGCCCUCUACAGCAGUAGCUUCGGUUUGUUUUUGAGAUCUUUACCGGCCAAAUUAGAGAAUCACAUAUGAACGGAAGCUGUAGUGCUUUUGAAGACCUUUCCAACGAGUAUUUAAACAUAAUGUUUCGUUGAAUAUAGCAAAAGUUCUGGCUUUCUGAUAUUGCUCAACUUUAUUGUCAAAUUCUGUCAGGCCGGGCUCAGUUUCGAAUUUCAAUUUUCAGUGUCCACGGUUUUAGUUCAAGAUUAUUACUGUUACAUGGGACUUGCUUUGGUUUACAUUUUGCUUAUUUAUUUAUGUAUGGUUGCCUGGUGAAAUCUGCUACCUGUGACUGUGAAAAUACGAGUGUAAGAUUGAGUUAUACUGAGCACACGGGUUGCAAGAAUGCUGUAGUUAUACAGAUACGUACAAAAAUGCUGUAGUUACAUGGAUUUGCAACUGCAAAAUCAGUUCCUAGAUCAAUCUUAGAACUCAGCCUAUUUUUAGUGGCAUCCAAGAAUAUCCUUGCAAAAACUACACUUAUUUUGCUUGGGUCAGGAAGAUCAAAGAAAUCUUGAUAGAUAUGCUACUGUAGUUUUUUGGUUACUCACAGGGGCAUCAAUCUUAGUGUGGUUAGGAAGGGGACAUGAACAGUUGCCAAAAAUUUUAAUAACCUUCAUUUGUUCUGGUAUGGUAUUUGUUCAUUAUAUAUCUGUUGUUAGGCUUUGUAGUUGGGGAAAGACUUUAGAACUGAAGCAUGUUAAUAUAAAAAAUUAUCAUGUUUAAUCUAGAUUCACAUUGGCCAGUUUUGCAUCAAAAGUACUUAGCAAAUCUAUUAGGCAACCUUGUCAUGUGUGGUAAUCAGUUUAGAAAAUGAAUGUUUUCCCCUCCAGAGCCACCUAAUAAUAUGAUCUUUCUUUUUUGCUGUCUUCUUAUGACUCAGCGAGGGACUGUACUUAGCCGUGUGUUGCUGCAGACAGCUCCUGGUGUAUUCUUGUUUGAUCCUGCUAGACAAGAGGGCCUGAGUGGCGACAACUCAGGCGAAGGAAUUGGUCUUUGUUUGUUAGAGUUCAGCAAAUUCAGUUGUAGCAAGGCAUUGUGCCUUAUAGAGGAUGGGGCUUCAGUUGCCCAACGCCGUAAGUGUAGCCACCAUUGCCCUUUUCUUUCAAUUCUCAGACUAAAUGCUUGUUUGUUAGAGUUCAACAAAUUCAGUUGUAGCAAGGCACUGUGCCUUAUGGAGAGAUGGGGCUUCAGUUGUCCAACGCCCAUGAACCUAUUUUUGGAAGCCUAAGUAUGUUCAUUCCAAGUUUCAUCUACAGACUGGUACUCUGGUUUCGCCAUUGUCUGGUUGCCCCACACAUUAAUCUGAGUCAAGUUCCUUCUCGAGAAGGACGCCAAUGUCAUCCUUGACAGCCACCUGAAUUACAGAUCUUAAAUACACCGAUACUUGUGUUUAUGACUCUAGAUGAAGUGCUUGAAGCUAAGACCAUUAUUCAAUAUCGUGUGAAAGCCCAUAACAUCUAAUAUCUACUCAUGGGAAGAGUUUCUGCGACUGGUUUUUGUAAGGCAAUGUUCACUGUCAUCAACAAAACCUGAAUUGUAGGUGGUAUUGUUUCCUGUCAAGCAAGAGCACUGAAUCAUCAUGAUAAUUUCAAUCUGACAGCUUUAGGGCUCCGGUACUUCAUAUAAAGUGGGGAGCACAACAUAUAAGGUGGGGAGCACAACAUGGAAGGUCUCGUGCUCCGAGUCGUAUACGUGGACGCCGACCGGUCCCCUCGCCACCACACCGCGACCAUCGCUGUGUCCGUCACUUUGAUCAAUCCACGGCUCCGGCUCGCCGGCGGCAGAGAAGCACGACGAGGGGCGGCACCCCGGCAGCAGUCCGCGCGCGGCCGCCGCCAGCUCCACCGUCUUCUCAAGUGCCCACUAGCCGCGCUGGGGAGCCAGCGUGAAGACCUUGAGAACGCCGCCGGGCGCCGUGGCGAGGAGUCGCGCCCCGCCGUCCCUACCGGCGGCAACCUUCAACGCUGCUGCCCGCUCGUCCACGUCCAAGCCUUCCGUGCGCGGCAGCUCGGAGCACGAGACCUCGCCCGCGCCCCCGCCGGCGUACCAUAAUAGGGGCGCCCGGGUGCGGCCCAUGAAGUCCCCCAGCAUCAUGUCCCUGCCCAAGCCGCCGCCGCCCGCGACGAGGUGAACGUGGAGCCGCGGCAGCGGCUGUGGCCGUCGUGGACCAUGUACAUCACCCGGAAGCUCGACAGGCUCACGCCGCCGCCGUCGAGGAGGAAGGGCUCGAAGUGGAGGUGGUAGCGGCCGGAGCGCACGAUGGGAGGGAUCACCCGGUGGCGCCGUGCGAGGGAGUCGCAGACGGCCAUGUGCAUCCGCCAGCGAGGGCAGCAGUCCUCGCGCUGCUUGACGGCCCAGAGGAGGAGCCCGCCGCGGCUGUCCCGGAUCCUCCGGAACCACGGGUCCACCAUGACCUCGUCGCCGUCGGGCUCAGGAGCGCGCCAGAGGAACUCGAGGGAGAAGCGGCUGCCUAAGGCGGCGGCGGCGGCGGCGAAGACCGGGCGCGCGCGCUCCGGGGAGCAGCCCAGGAAGCGACGACCGUUAUGGUAGGAGCCGGCGACGAGGUGGCGUCCACCGUCACGCGAGGCGAAGCGGCGGAGGAAGUCAUCGCCGACGACGCCGUGCCACCGCCGGCACGCCGCCGCGACGCGGAUGAGGUGGGCCGGGAGGGCAGGAGGAAGAGGAUGAUCAGCUCGAGGACGGGGAUGCCGUGGAUGCCACCCAUGGCUGUCGAUCUCUGCCUUGAGGGAGUGUUAUGACUUUAUGAGGGAGUAUAUGAUCGUCGGCCCGACUCGGAUUCCACUAUAACCGUGAACCAUGAACCAUGAUUUGAAAUCCAAAACCGGAACGGAGACAGUUGAUGUCUGCUUAGAGCCAGGGUUUUUAAUUCCGGUCGGACCCAUCGAUAAAACCGAAAUAUUGAGAAUAUCAGAAUUUUUAUUUUUUU